GUCGAGCGGACCGACGGGAGCUUGCUCCCUUAGGUCAGCGGCGGACGGGUGAGUAACACGUGGGUAACCUGCCUGUAAGACUGGGAUAACUCCGGGAAACCGGGGCUAAUACCGGAUGCUUGAUUGAACCGCAUGGUUCAAUCAUAAAAGGUGGCUUUUAACUACCACUUACAGAUGGACCCGCGGCGCAUUAACUAGUUGGUGAGGUAACGGCUCACCAAGGCGACCAUGCGUAACCCACCUGAAAGGGUGAUCGGCCACACUGGGACUGAAACACGGCCCAAACUCCUACGGGAGGCAGCAGUAGGGAAUCUUCCGCAAUGGACGAAAGUCUGACGGAACAACCCCCCGUGAGUGAUGAAGGUUUUCGGAUCGUAAAACUCUGUUGUUAGGG
rnacentral:rRNA from 1 species